rnacentral:rRNA from 1 species
CCUACGGGAGGCAGCAGUGGGGAAUAUUGCACAAUGGGGGAAACCCUGAUGCAGCGACGCCGCGUGAGUGAAGAAGUAAUUCGUUACGUAAAGCUCUAUCAGCAGGGAAGAAAUACUGACCUUACGGUCAGCAGACGGUACCUGAGUAAGAAGCCCCGGCUAACUACGUGCCAGCAGCCGCGGUAAUACGUAGGGGGCAAGCGUUAUCCGGAUUUACUGGGUGUAAAGGGAGCGUAGACGGUGGUCCAAGUCUGGCGUGAAAUGACGCGGCUUAACUGCGGGACUGCUUUUGAAACUGGCGAACUAGAGUGCGGGAGGGGUAAGCGGAAUUCCGAGUGUAGCGGUGAAAUGCGUAGAUAUAAGGAGGAACACCGGUGGCGAAGGCGGCUUACUGGACAGUAACUGACGUUGAGGCGCGAAAGCGUGGGGAGCAAACAGGAUUAGAUACCCCAGUAGUC